rnacentral:lncRNA from 1 species
GGCAACGGGACACCGGUCUGGAGCUACCGGAUUUUUUCCGACCCCGCCCCCUCCUGCAGAUCAGCGUCCCCAGCGGCCCCCCAGGGCGGGGCGGUUACGCCCGACGGGAACGCCCCUCCCCCUAGAAGAGUAACACGCUUCCCUGCAGAUAAGAGUUGGAGUCAGCCGGUCUGGAAACUGCUGAACACCCUCCAAGAAAUACUGGGAGUGCUGGACCCUUGACCCCUAUGCCUCCACCGAACCACUGACCUAAAAUAAAUUACAAUUACAGAUCUUUC